GGAACAACACAGGGAAACUUGUGCUAAUACCGGAUAAGCCCUUACGGGGAAAGAUUUAUCGCCGAAAGAUCGGCCCGCGUCUGAUUAGCUAGUUGGUGAGGUAAUGGCUCACCAAGGCGACGAUCAGUAGCUGGUCUGAGAGGAUGAUCAGCCACAUUGGGACUGAGACACGGCCCAAACUCCUACGGGAGGCAGCAGUGGGGAAUAUUGGACAAUGGGGGCAACCCUGAUCCAGCCAUGCCGCGUGAGUGAUGAAGGCCCUAGGGUUGUAAAGCUCUUUUGUGCGGGAAGAUAAUGACGGUACCGCAAGAAUAAGCCCCGGCUAACUUCGUGCCAGCAGCCGCGGUAAUACGAAGGGGGCUAGCGUUGCUCGGAAUCACUGGGCGUAAAGGGUGCGUAGGCGGGUCUUUAAGUCAGGGGUGAAAUCCUGGAGCUCAACUCCAGAACUGCCUUUGAUACUGAAGAUCUUGAGUUCGGGAGAGGUGAGUGGAACUGCGAGUGUAGAGGUGAAAUUCGUAGAUAUUCGCAAGAACACCAGUGGCGAAGGCGGCUCACU
rnacentral:rRNA from 1 species